UACAGAGGGUGCAAGCGUUUAAUCGGAAUUACUGGGCGUAAAGCGUGCGUAGUCGGUUAUCUAAGUCGGGUGUGAAAUCCCCGGGCUCAACCUGGGAAUUGCAUUCGAUACUGGAUAGCUAGAGUUCGGCAGAGGGAAGCGGAAUUUCCGGUGUAGCGGUGAAAUGCGUAGAUAUCGGAAGGAACAUCAGUGGCGAAAGCGGCUUCCUGGACCAGAACUGACGAUCAGGCACGGAAAGCGUGG
rnacentral:rRNA from 1 species